CUUUAACCCACUGUGCAGGCUGGUGAUCAAACCUGUGUCCUGGAGCUGCAUAGAUCCCACAGAUCCCAUUGCACCACAGUGAGAACUCCUUCUUCUUCCUUAAAUUACUCUUUCUUUCCUAAGAGUUUUAUUGUCCCUCGGAGAAGAGAAAACUGCACGGCCGUGCCCUUUGAGACUGCUUUGAGACCUUGCUCUCAACAAAGAGUAAAGUAUUUAGAGCUUCUAAUUCCACUUUUCCUUAAGGGAGGAUGAACUCUGUAGCAAUUACCUUGUGACUUCUGAGGAUCACCUUUGGAAGGCUUGGUGUUACGAACAUUGGGAUAAGAAUUUUACAAAACAUCAAAAAGGUAUUGAAUUGAUAAGUAAAAGAACUGCCUUUUGAGCGUUGCAUGAGAGGAAAAUGUACAAUUUCAGAGUGGGAUUGGGUGUGCAAGGAUGAGUAACCGAUUGCCCAAUAACUUUCAGUCUCUUUCCCUUUUAGGGGCCUGUGUUAUAUUAAGAGUAUUAUAGUUGACAGCUAGGAUGAAAACAGGUCAUCAUUUCCAAAUGAUUUCACAAUCACAGAUGUAACCAGGAUUCUUUAUAAUAAAAAAGCUUAUGUUGGCA
rnacentral:lncRNA from 1 species